rnacentral:rRNA from 1 species
UGCAGUCUGCAACUCGAGUGCAUGAAGCUGGAAUCGCUAGUAAUCGCGGAUCAGAAUGCCGCGGUGAAUACGUUCCCGGGUCUUGUACACACCGCCCGUCACACCAUGGGAGUCGGGAAUGCCCGAAGCCGGUGGCCCAAUCGAAAGAAGGGAGCCGUCGAAGGCAGGCCGGAUGACUGGGGUGAAGUCGUAACAAGGUACC